ACACUUUUCUUCUCCAUCAUCGCUCAAAACCAAUCAUCUAUUUUCUUCUUGUAUCACACCUGAAACCAUGAAAAAGAAGAGGACUAAACUACCUACACAGAGAAAAACUGAUUCUGAAACGGAAACAAGUCCAGUCCAAGAAAUUUGAGAGGAAGAGGCUAUUGUGGAAGAGGCUAGGGUUGAAGAGACUAGUGUCGAAGGGGCUAUAAUCAGGGAGACUAUGGUGGAAGAUGUUAGAGACAAAGAAACUGAUAUGGAAGACAUUAGAGAAGAAAGUACUACGAUCCAAGUCGAGGCAGCUGGAGAUGUAUCUGAAGAUGAUUGUGAGACUAUUGUGGAUGAUGCAGCUGAUGUGUUAGAUGGCGAUGUUGGAGUAAAUGGAAUCAGUGUCGAAGAAGAAGAUUGCUCAAAUUUAGAAGUCCACUUUGGAGAUGUGGCUAGAGAAGAAGAAGAAGCGAGUGAUGCAGAUAGUGGUGACGACAUUUGGGAUGACGGUAAUAUUCCUGAUCCGUUGUCAUCAGACGAUGAUGAAAACCAGCAGAGCGUAAAGAAACACGUGCAAAUACAGUAGACAGUGAAGAGCUUCUCUUUCUAGGAAAGACGUUCGGAUGUGCUGCAGAUUUCAAAGUUUCUUUACUACGGUAUUCUCUUAGGACUAGAUACAACAUUAAACUAUACAAGUCGUCAUUCAGAAGCUUGGUGCAAAAUGUUCUGACAUGGAAUCGGAGUGCCCGUGGAGAGUAUAUUGCUCAUCUGAGAGGAGACAGCACAAGAUGCAGAUCAAAGUGUAUGUGAAUGAGCAUAUAUGUUUAACAUCAGGUUACUCUAAGACGUUGAAGAGGUAAUCAAUUGCAAUGCUUUUUAAGUAGAGAUUAAGGUUGAACCCGAAACUUAGCAAACAAGAAAUGGCUGAGGAGAUAAAAAGAUACAACUUGAUUGUCAGUGAGGAGCAAUGCGCAACGGCCAAGAGCAAACUUUAUCGGGAAAGGAAAGCUAGCCAUGAAAUACAUUUCUCUCGCAUAUAAGAUUAUGAGGCAAAGUUAAGGAGAAGUAAUCCAUAUUCGACAGUGGUGAUUGAAACUAUUCCAGGGGUAACUCCAACAAGCAAGCAAAGUUUUGAUCGGUUUUAAGUUUGUUUUACAUCACAAAGGGAAACAUGGAUUCAGAGUUGUAGACCAAUAAUAGGAUUGAAUGGUGCUUUUCUGAAGUGGGAUAUUAAAGGCCAUCUAUUAGCUGCUAUAGGAAGAGAUGUAGAUAACAGAAUAGUCCCAAUCGCAUGGGCUGUUGUUGAGGUUGAGAAUAAUAUCAAUUGAGAAUGGUUUGUGAAGCUUUUAAAGUCAGAUUUGGGAUUGAAUAAUGGGGGUACAACAACAAUAAUUACAGACAAGCAAAAGGGCUUGUUGAAUGCUGUAAAAGAGGAGCUUCCAUAUGCUGAACAUCAGAUGUGUUCAAGACACAUUCUCGCCAACUGGAAGAGAGAUAGUAAUGAUCCACAACUUGAAAGGAUUUUUUUGAAAAUAGCACGAGCCUACACAGAAGGAGAUUACAAAGACCAAUUAAAAGCUCUCAAGGCUUAUAAUCCAGGUGCACAUGAUACUUUUCUCAGAACAAACCUUUUAGCAUGGUCUAGGGUUUCUUCAAGAUAGGAUCGUGUUGUAGUGACAAUCUUAGUGAAUCUUUCAAUAAGACAAUUCAGGAAGCAAGAAAAAAAAUCUUUGCUUGAAAUGUUAGAAGAAAUAAGGAGGCAAUGCAUGGUUCAUGAUGCAAAAAGAGCUUUGGUGGCUUCACGGUUGAAGACCAAAUUUACAAAACGAGCACAUGCGGAGAUUGAACAAACCAAAGAAAAGUCAAAGGUUUGUAAAAGGUACAUGGCUUGUGGACAUCUUCAUGAGGUUGACGAUCAAAGUGUUGCUCAUACUGUGGACAUGGAUUCUCACACUUGUGGAUGUAUAAAGUGGCAGUUGACAGGAAUACCAUGUAUUCAUGCGUCAUGUGUGAUAGUGGAGAAAAAAAUUAAGGUUUGAUGACUUUGUAUCUAAGUUUUACACUGGAAGCAUGUGGCGGAUUACUUAUUCUCGAGGUAUCAGACUGAUACCUUGUACAAGGGAUGAAGUUGUGGCCUAGGCUUAACAGGAUACCCAUGUUACCACCACCCUAUAGAUUAGGAAAUCGGGGCAGACCAAGUAACUACGCGAGAAAGAAAGGACAUAAUGAGUCUUCUUCGUCACAUUAAACUAAGCUAUCCCGAGACAAUUGUGUGAUAACAUGUUCUAACUGUCUUCAAGAAGGUCACAACAAAACCACAUAUUCAGAUGCAACUGCUGAGAGGCCUCCAAAGAAGCCAAGAGGGAGAACCGUCACAAGGGGUGUUUCAAGGACAAUCUAAAUGAAUGUAUCAAGGACAAUCACAACUACCGCGAAGGGUUUGGAGUUUAAAGCCUCAGUCUAAUGUUUUUCUUUUUGUUUAUGCUGGAUUGUGUUUUGUCUCGGAUGGGUCGUGUUUUUUUUUCUUAUUUCGGGUAGAAUAUAUAAUGAAUGCUAUAUGCAUAACAACUUGAUGGUUUUUUUCUUUUUUCAGUUUCUCUGCAAUGUUGGUAACUGUAGGAGUUGUUCUUUGAUGACCUUGUUCUAUGUUUACUUUUCUUAAA